rnacentral:rRNA from 1 species
CGGUUAAAAAGCUCGUAGUUGGAUUUCUGUCGGGAGCACUUGGUCCACCCUAGUGGUCGGUACUCGAGCAACUCCGGACAUAUUUCUGAAAGUCUCGCUAGCACUUAGUUGUGCGGCUAAGAAUUUCAGAACUUUUACUUUGAGGAAAUGAGAGUGUUCCAAGCAGGCUAUUGCCGUGAAUACGUUAGCAUGGAAUAAUAGCAUCGGAUUUCAUUCCAAAGCUGUUGGUUUCUUGGAGUGAGAUGAAGGUAAAUAGGGACAGUUGGGGGCAUUCGUAUUUAACUGUCAGAGGUGAAAUUCUUGGAUUUGUUGAAGACGGACUACUGCGAAAGCAUCUGCCAAAGAUGUUCUCAUUGAUCAAGAACGAAAGUUAGGUGAUCGAAGACGAUCAGAUACCGUCCUAGUCUUAACCAUAAACUAUGCCAACUGGAGAUUGGAGGCUGUUAGAUUCUAUAUCGCCUUCUGCAUCUUGAGAGAAAUCAAAGUCUUUGGGUUCCGGGGGGAGUAUGGUCGCAAGGCUGAAACUUAAAGGAAUUGA